rnacentral:rRNA from 1 species
UACGGAGGGUGCGAGCGUUGUCCGGAAUCAUUGGGCGUAAAGGGCGCGUAGGUGGCCUGCUAAGCGUGCGGUGAAAGCUCGGGGCUCAACCCCGAGUCGGCCGUGCGAACUGGUGGGCUUGAGCACUGUAGAGGCAGGCGGAAUUCCGGGUGUAGCGGUGGAAUGCGUAGAGAUCCGGAAGAACACCGGUGGCGAAGGCGGCCUGCGGGGACAGUGCGGACGCUGAGGCGCGACAGCGUGGGGAGCAAACAGG